GGCCUACCAUGGUGGUAACGGGUAACGGGGUGUUAGGGCACGACACCGGAGAGGGAGCCUGAGAAACGGCUACCACAUCCAAGGAUGGCAGCAGGCGCGCAAAUUACCCAAUCCCGACACGGGGAGGUAGUGACAAUAAAUAACAAUACGGGGUUCUUUCGGAUCUCGUAAUUGGAAUGAGUACAAUUUAAAUCUCUUAACGAGGAACAGUUGGAGGGCAAGUCUGGUGCCAGCAGCCGCGGUAAUUCCAGCUCCAAUAGCGUAUAUUAAAGUUGUUGCAGUUAAAAAGCUCGUAGUUGAAUUUCGGGGUCAGCAGGUUGGUCGUGCCACUGGUAUGUACUGGCUUCGCUGAUUCCUCCCUCUUGUAGAACCGUAAUGCCAUUAAGUUGGUGUUGCGGGGAAACAGGACUGUUACUUUGAAAAAAUUAGAGUGUUUAAAGCAGGCUAACGCUUGAAUACAUUAGCAUGGAAUAAUGAAAUAGGACGAUCGAUCCUAUUUUGUUGUUUCUAGGAUUGACGUAAUGAUUAAUAGGGAUAGUUGGGGGCAUUAGUAUUCAAUUGUCAGAGGUGAAAUUCUUGGAUUUAUUGAAGACUGACUACUGCGAAAGCAUUUGCCAAGGAUGUUUUCAUUAAUCAAGAACGAAAGUUAGGGGAUCGAAGACGAUCAGAUACCGUCGUAGUCUUAACCAUAAACUAUGCCGACUAGGGAUCGGAUGAUGUUAAUUUUUUAAUGACUCAUUCGGCGCCUUACGGGAAACCAAAGUGUUUGGGUUC
rnacentral:rRNA from 1 species